GGGUUGUGAGGUUAAGCGACUAAGCGUACACGGUGGAUGCCCUGGCAGUCAGAGGCGAUGAAGGACGUGCUAAUCUGCGAUAAGCGUCGGUAAGGUGAUAUGAACCGUUAUAACCGGCGAUUUCCGAAUGGGGAAACCCAGUGUGAUUCGUCACACUAUCAUUAACUGAAUCCAUAGGUUAAUGAGGCGAACCGGGGGAACUGAAACAUCUAAGUACCCCGAGGAAAAGAAAUCAACCGAGAUUCCCCCAGUAGCGGCGAGCGAACGGGGAGCAGCCCAGAGCCUGAAUCAGUGUGUGUGUUAGUGGAAGCGUCUGGAAAGGCGUGCGAUACAGGGUGACAGCCCCGUACACAAAAAUGCACAUACUGUGAGCUCGAUGAGUAGGGCGGGACACGUGGUAUCCUGUCUGAAUAUGGGGGGACCAUCCUCCAAGGCUAAAUACUCCUGACUGACCGAUAGUGAACCAGUACCGUGAGGGAAAGGCGAAAAGAACCCCGGCGAGGGGAGUGAAAAAGAACCUGAAACCGUGUACGUACAAGCAGUGGGAGCACGCUUAGGCGUGUGACUGCGUACCUUUUGUAUAAUGGGUCAGCGACUUAUAUUCUGUAGCAAGGUUAACCGAAUAGGGGAGCCGAAGGGAAACCGAGUCUUAACUGGGCGUUAAGUUGCAGGGUAUAGACCCGAAACCCGGUGAUCUAGCCAUGGGCAGGUUGAAGGUUGGGUAACACUAACUGGAGGACCGAACCGACUAAUGUUGAAAAAUUAGCGGAUGACUUGUGGCUGGGGGUGAAAGGCCAAUCAAACCGGGAGAUAGCUGGUUCUCCCCGAAAGCUAUUUAGGUAGCGCCUCGUGAAUUCAUCUCCGGGGGUAGAGCACUGUUUCGGCAAGGGGGUCAUCCCGACUUACCAACCCGAUGCAAACUGCGAAUACCGGAGAAUGUUAUUACGGGAGACACACGGCGGGUGCUAACGUCCGUCGUGAAGAGGGAAACAACCCAGACCGCCAGCUAAGGUCCCAAAGUCAUGGUUAAGUGGGAAACGAUGUGGGAAGGCCCAGACAGCCAGGAUGUUGGCUUAGAAGCAGCCAUCAUUUAAAGAAAGCGUAAUAGCUCACUGGUCGAGUCGGCCUGCGCGGAAGAUGUAACGGGGCUAAACCAUGCACCGAAGCUGCGGCAGCGACGCUUAUGCGUUGUUGGGUAGGGGAGCGUUCUGUAAGCCUGUGAAGGUGUGCUGUGAGGUAUGCUGGAGGUAUCAGAAGUGCGAAUGCUG
rnacentral:rRNA from 1 species